rnacentral:rRNA from 1 species
UACGAAGGGGGCUAGCGUUGCUCGGAAUCACUGGGCGUAAAGCGCACGUAGGCGGACUCUUAAGUCGGUGGUGAAAUCCUGGAGCUCAACUCCAGAACUGCCUUCGAUACUGAGAGUCUCGAGUCCGGGAGAGGUGAGUGGAACUGCGAGUGUAGAGGUGAAAUUCGUAGAUAUUCGCAAGAACACCAGUGGCGAAGGCGGCUCACUGGCCCGGUACUGACGCUGAGGUGCGAAAGCGUGGGUAGCAAACAGG